GGGCCCGUAGCUCAGUUGGUCAGAGCACCCGGCUCAUAACCGGAGGGUCCCAGGUUCGAGUCCUGGUGGGCCCA
rnacentral:tRNA from 1 species